rnacentral:rRNA from 1 species
UACGUAGGGUGCAAGCGUUAAUCGGAAUUACUGGGCGUAAAGCGUGCGCAGGCGGUUGUGCAAGACAGAUGUGAAAUCCCCCGGGCUUAACCUGGGAAUGGCAUUUGUGACUGCACGGCUAGAGUGUGUCAGAGGGGGGUAGAAUUCCACGUGUAGCAGUUGAAAUGCGUAGAUAUGUGGAGGAAUACCGAUGGCGAAGGCAGCCCCCCUGGGAGUAACACUGACGCUCAUGCACGAAAGCGUGGGAGCAAACAGG